CUAUUUAAAUUCAAACAGGGUUAUACAGGUUUAAACGGGUUUUAACGGGGUCCUGUUUGGCAACAUACAGGUGUAAACAGGACCCGUUUACACACAAACAGGUCUGAACGGGGUCCUGUUUGGCUUGCAAAUAGGUUUAAACGGGACCCUCCCACACAGAAAUAGGUCUAAACAGGGGCCCCGUUUAGCGAACAAACAGGUUCAUACUGGGCACUGGCACCAAACAGGGGCCUAUUUGGCCCGCAGGCAGGUUUUAACAGGAAACUCCGACACAGAAAUGGGUCUAAACAGGGGACCCGUUUGGUAGUUAAACCAGUUAAACUGGCUCAUAGUGGUCCCACUUGCACCAAAAAGGUCUACUUGUAGCUGUCAUGCUCGAUUUAAUGCUUGAACUAUUUACGGUAAAAUUCGAUUUGAAAUUGGUACACACGAGCGAGCGCUCCGCAACACCCCAACGACAGCCGCUUCGCGUCGGCGCCGGGGCACAACCAACGGCGCUGCCAAACACAGAGAAAAAAAAAAGAAAGAAAAGGUUAAUAAAUAAGAAGGAAAAAAAAAAACAAAAACAAAUAAGCCAAAACGGGAUUUGAACCCGCGUACCGCAGAUCCCAAGGCAAGCGUCGUAACCACUCGGCCACGCAGCCCCGCAGAUCCGGCGAUUGCUAUCCUCACUAUUGAAAGGAACGUGGCUGGAACCCGCCGUAUGCAUGAUAUCGAAAUACUACCACAGAACACCCAUACAAACUACCACAUACUACGCCGUCACGAUACAUGCGGUCACCAAAGGGCCGAAAGUGGGCAAAAGCACGAAAGCAUGGUCGCUUUCGGUGCCCCCAGGAGGCGCUGCCACUGCCCCAGGGGCAUGACCGUGCUGUUGCUGCCUGUUGCUGUGUGUGCGCGCUGCAUUGAGGCAGGUCGAUGUGGAUGUUUAAUCGUGUGUACGCUGUGCCGAGAGAAAAUGUCGUGCCCCUUGUGUGCUUUGAUGAUCACCUACCCCCUGGGACCGCGUAACGUAGCUCGCAGUACCUUUCGCGUGGUUCGCCGAUGUCGAUUAUCGUAGUUAUGGCCCGCUUGCGCUUUCUUUGUUCCCGGCCUCUGAUAAUAUCGCAUCGGAUCACAGUGCACGGAACAAUUUGUUGAGCUAUUACGUGCUGUAGUUCAUCCGCAAUUCAACAGUGUUUACGUCGGAAGGAUCGUCGUGCAGUCGACGCCGCGACCUGACAUGAAGGAGCGUUUGCCGACUACGCCUAGAAAGGGAUGUCAAGAUUUCGUGAACCAGAGGCACCGCAUAGGAACCUAAGACAUUUCUGCAGCCGGAACAGCACGGCAAAGCAUCUGAUCUGCAUGCUGCGACAAGGUAUGGCUGGGCCUGGUGAUGAAGUGUAAGCAGAACAUGCUAUGCUGCGAAUUGGUGCCAAUCUUCACAUCCGAGUUGUUCCCACGACAGUCAAGCACCACUGUGAUUUGCUUCAUUGGCAAGGUAAUAUACUAUGGUGAGCUUGCACCUCAAUAUUGGUAUUGAAAAAUAUGUCAAGUAAAAGACACAAGAGUUGGCCUUUAUGAGAGAUACACUCAUGUUCUUUUUUUAAAGAGCUCUUUUAGCACUGUUCUUUAUGGGCAUGUUUUCAGAGGAUGCUUAUACUCCUUUAUUACAAACUGCCAUGGAGCUAGUUUGUGUGUUAAACUAACACUCUUUCACUAAGAAAAAGUCCAGUUUUUACUCGCACAGUGAUAUGGUGCCAAGGACGAAAGGGGUGGAAUGGAUCAAUCUGAAUGCAUGUUGCUCACACAAAUACAAAAAGGGAGCAUGGCAUGGCUAGCGCGAUUUGUUUUACAGUGAUGAUAAGCAGUCUCAAUGUCUAAUAAUUCUAUUGAUAGGGAGCUAACACACUGGUUCCCCGUCAUUUGAAUAAGGAAAGAUUCACAUAUCUCUGAAGCACUCUGGUCCUUAUAUUUUGCCACAUUCAAGUGGUUUUUAAAUAUGGGUGCACAUUGCACUGAGAGCAGUGCAAUACUAAUGCCAACUGACCCACACAUCAAGUUUGCGUGGUUACGCAGCCUGUCAUUUAUACAUUUGGCUUGUUUAGCCAAUGUAGCAUCUACUGCACAAUAAUGGUAUGUGAUAGACACUGCACCUGUGUACUCUAUGCUUUUUUUGCAUUCAAUUUUUUUCACCGGUAGUGAUGCAUGCCUUUUCAUUAUUUAUGUGCCUACACAACAAGCCAAGCUUGUUCUUGGCCGAGAAAGAAUUCUAGGAAAAGCCUACGUGCUGCAACUUUUCUUGGAACGAAACUAGCUUGGCUCGUUGGGUUAGGUUAAAUGGUUCGAUGGGUUUUGGAGCCCAUACGGGUUCCUUGCUCACACUAAGACACAUAAGCUUGUAGACUGUGCUUCUGUAAUUUGUACAGCUCACUGACAGUGCAGGUGCAGGCCUCAUCUUCUCAAAGAAGCUGACUGACUGCACCUUCCACGGAGCAGGUGACUCGGGUUGAGUGAGGCACCAGUGUUGGUGUUUGUUCCCUUGUGCAAAACAGCAGCUUUAGGUUCAUUGUAGUUGUAGGAAGACAAGUUACACAUAACUUCCAUGGUUUGAGUGGGCGCA